CCCGCACAAGCGGUGGAGCAUGUGGUUUAAUUCGAUGCAACGCGAAGAACCUUACCAGGUCUUGACAUCCCGAUGCUAUUUCUAGAGAUAGAAAGUUACUUCGGUACAUCGGUGACAGGUGGUGCAUGGUUGUCGUCAGCUCGUGUCGUGAGAUGUUGGGUUAAGUCCCGCAACGAGCGCAACCCCUAUUGUUAGUUGCCAUCAUUCAGUUGGGCACUCUAGCGAGACUGCCGGUAAUAAACCGGAGGAAGGUGGGGAUGACGUCAAAUCAUCAUGCCCCUUAUGACCUGGGCUACACACGUGCUACAAUGGUUGGUACAACGAGUUGCGAGUCGGUGACGGCGAGCUAAUCUCUUAAAGCCAAUCUCAGUUCGGAUUGUAGGCUGCAACUCGCCUACAUGAAGUCGGAAUCGCUAGUAAUCGCGGAUCAGCACGCCGCGGUGAAUACGUUCCCGGGCCUU
rnacentral:rRNA from 1 species